GACAGAGGGGGGCAAGCGUUGCUCGGAAUUACUGGGCGUAAAGGGCGCGUAGGCGGGAUGGCAAGUCGGUCGUGAAAUCCCUCGGCUCAACCGAGGAACGUCGAUCGAUACUGCUGUUCUUUGAGGAUUGCAGAGGAGACUGGAAUUCCCGGUGUAGCGGUGAAAUGUGUAGAGAUCGGGGAGGAACACCGGUGGCGAAGGCGGGUCUCUGGGCAAUUCCUGACGCUGAGGCGCGAAAGCGUGGGGAGCAAACGGG
rnacentral:rRNA from 1 species